GCUUUCCAACUACGUGGAAACUUGGAAUAGGUCUGCGGCUGCACAAAGCCGGGGCGCCGGGGUCCCUGCGCCUCCACCCCGUUCGUCACCGCCGGGGAGCCGAGCAACAGGGAACCGGGGGCCCCGCGCGCGGCGCUUGCACCGCGACACUCCUGCUCAGUGCUCUGGCGGCCGCAGCCCGCCCAGCGCUUCCGGGCUUCCGCGAGCCCCGCUGCGCGCGCCCGCCCGCCGGGGAGCGGCUCCCGUGGUGGCGGCGAUCCGGGUGCGGGCCCUGCGGCCUAGGGCAUGUGGGACCCGCGGGUAUCUAGGAUGGACCCAAGAACUUAUGCUGAGCUGUUGAAAGAAUCUGGCAACCAGGAUUUUAAGAAUGGAAGCUUCUCUUUGGCCAUCAGAAAGUACGAUGAAGCCAUCCAGAUUCUCCUGCAGUUAUACCAGUGGGGGGUUCCCCCGAGGGAUCUGGCUGUGCUGCUGUGCAACAAAUCCAAUGCAUUUUACAGUCUUAGGAAAUGGAAUGAGGCGUUUGGCGCUGCCAAGGAAUGUCUCAGUUGGGAUCCAACCUACAUGAAGGGAUACUACCGAGCUGGUUAUUCCUUGCUGCGUUUGCUCCAGCCUUAUGAAGCUGCUCGCAUGUUUUUUGAGGGCCUGCGACUUCUGCAAUGUAACCGAGACCACUCACAGGUUGCUGAUUUUCUUGUUGGAGUCUUCACUGCUAUGGACAGUGACCCCAUUGUUUUGCAAAGUUGCUUGCCCUGCUUUGAUCGUAUUUUCACUACUGGAUUCUCAACAGAAGUGUGGCAAUCUGUAAUAGAAAAGUUGGCAAAGAAAGGAUUAUGGCCUUCAUUUCUACUUCUGUCAGUGAGAAAAGACCGACUACCAAGAAAUAUCCAUGUCCCAGAGUUAUCACUGAAAAGUCUCUUUGAGAAAUAUGUCUUCAUUGGACUUUAUGAGAAAAUGGAACAGAUGCCCAAGUUAGUCCAGUGGCUCAUCUCCAUUGGUGCAAAUAUUGAGAGUAUCGGACCAUACCCUCUUCAUGCCCUCAUGCGACUCUGUAUCCGAGCACAGGAAAACCAUCUUUUCAGGUGGUUAAUGGAAUACAAGCCUGAGUGGAAAGGCCGCAUCAACCAGAAGGACGAGGAUGGCUGCACGGUGCUUCAUGUCGUCGCCGCCCACUCCUCGGGAUACCUCCUCAAGCGACAAGUGGAGGAUGUGCAGAUGCUCCUGCGCUUUGGGGCAGACCCCACCCUGCUGGAUCGGCAGUCCCGGUCAGCUGUGGAUGUCCUGAAGAGGAAUAAGAACUUCAAAGCCAUCGAGAAAAUCAACAGUCACUUGGAAAAGCUGGUUACGUGUUCCAAGGACCCAUCAGGACUGAGCAAUGGUGAUGGACCCACCAGUGAGAGCGACAUUUUUCAGAAGGCCUCUGAGCAACUGGUGAAGUACAUGAACUCAGGAAACCAGUCACUGCAUAAAAACUUUAUGAAGCAAGAAAUAGUUCAGAGGUUCUUGCGCCUCCUUUCUUCUCUUCAAGAGAUCCCUCCUGACCUGGUCUGUGACAUUAAUCGCGACUGUGCCAGUACCUUCAUCAAGUUCUUACUGGAGAAACAGAAAUGGCCCGAAGUUCUUCUGCUGCUGACCCGCAAAGUAAGUGGGGAGCCACCGUUCGGAGACUCGCUCAUCAAAGACUGCAGUUUCUCAGACCUCGACAUCUGUGCCAUCAUCCCACACCUCAGCAGCUGGGACCACAGGAAGACACAGCUGCUAGGCUGUCUGAUAGACAGAGGAGCUUUGCCCGAGGGUCUCCAGGAGAGCCAGCAGAGGCCGCUUGUCCUGUGCCUGAAACAUGAGGACUUUGAGUUGGCUUUUCUUCUCUUGACCAAAGGUGCUGAUCCCCGUGGUAUUUCUCUCACGGAAGGAGAUACUCCUUUACAUGCAGCACUCCACAUCUUUUUAGAUAUAAAAGCUGACAUUGGUUUUAACUUCCUCAAUCACCUGUUGGAUCUGUUCUGGUCCAAUCCAACUGAAUUUUACUACCUCAACCCCAACAUCCAGGAUGGCAAUGGGAACACGCUGAUGCACAUCCUUUUUCAGAAGGGCAUGCUGAAGCGCAUGAAGAAGCUGAUAGACCUGCUGGUGAAGUUUGACAUCAACUUCAACCUGAAGAACAAGGAGGGCAAAGAUGCACGGCACCGGAUUAAGAAGAAUGAUGCUCUGCUCAUGGCCUGGAACAAAGCUCUGAUGGAGAGCAGGCGGAAGAACCGGCAGGACUCUGCUUCACACCAGGGAAAGCUUGCGAAGUCUGCUGCCCCUGGACACAUGUCUCAGCUCAAGUCCCAGGGUUCAUUCAAGUCACUGCCAUGCGGUGUCACUGUCAUAACCCCAUCAGAAGAAUCUGCGGUCUCUGACAGCUGGGAGACUGUUCCCAAUGCCCAGGUGACAAGACAGGAGCCUGGAGCCAUCAGGCCACGUUCUCUGAGAGACCGUCUUGUGCAGGACAUCAUGAGUUUGAUUCAGCAGGUGGAAUUGGAUACAUGCCUCCCAGAGGACUAUCCUCGGUGCUCUGAGUCUCUGGAAAUUGCUGGCAAAGUAGUAAAGAAAGACGAGUUCCAGCAGACUCCAGGUACAGGGAGGUCUAAGUGUAGUGGGAACAAUCUGGUCCUCCCUGAGGCGGGGGAAGGACCUGUCCAGGCAGGUCUUGGAGCCACACAGCUCGUUCCUGUUGUUAACGGAGGGAGGGAAGGCAGUGACAAUCAGGAGGACUGUAGCAUACAGGAUAUUGAGGCCUGCUUCCAGGACUUUGAUAACAUGACGUGGGAGAUCGAGUGUACUUCAGAAAUGCUGAAGAAGCUGUCAAGUAGGGCAAUGACCAAGGUCAUGAAGAAGAAAAUCAUCCUUGCCAUCCAGCAGCUGGGGAAUGGCGAGUGGACCCAAGGCCUACAGAAGCGGCUUAAGCACCUCAAAGGAAGCAUCCAGCUAUUCGAAGCUAAGCUGGACAAAGGAGCACGGAUGCUGUGGGAGCUCGCCAUCGAUUUCUCUCCUCGAUGCAGCGAGAACCCGGAGAAGAUCAUUGCCACAGAGCGCAACAUGCACUCCACAGAGAAGUCGGGACGGGUCUACACAGAAAUCAUCCGGAUCUGGGACAUUGUCUUAGAUCACUGCAAACUGUCAGACUCCGUCAGGGCCAUCUGCAAUGCCUACAACCGGGGCUUGUCUUGCAUCCUGCGGAAGAAGCUGAAGGGUAUCAACAAAGACCAGGUAUUUGCCAACAUGAAAAUCCAAAAGCGAAUUCCCCGCUGCUACGUCGAAGACACAGAGACAGAGAAGGGCAGAGAGCACAUUGAUCCCGAGUACUUCCCUCCAGCCAGUGCAGUGGAGACAGAGUAUAACCUCAUGAAGUUCCACAGCUUCAGCACCAACAUGGCCUUCAACAUCCUCAAUGACAUGACGGUGACAGUGGAGUACCCCUUCCGGGUGGGCGAGCUCGAGUAUGCCGUGAUCAACCUCAACCCCAAGCCACUGGAGCCCAUCAUCCUCAUUGGGCGGAGUGGCACUGGGAAGACAACUUGCUGCUUGUACAGGCUCUGGAAGAAAUUCCACAUUUACUGGGAAAAAGCCGAGCAGGCAGGAAGCCCGCUACUGGCCAAACAGAUCUGGCUAAAGAGAAGGUUGGAAAUGGAACCCAGAGAGGAAGGUUCAGGUCAGGAGGAAGAAGAGGAUGAGGAUGAGGAAGAGGAAGGUUCAGUUGAAGUGGAAACAGUGGACAGCAUAGAUGAGGAGCAAGAGAGUGAAGCCUGUGUGGGGGUACCCGACGUGGAGCAAGUGGAAGUCAGCCAAGCAGAAGUGUGUGCCCCAGAACAUCCCCACCAACUGGAGCAUUUACAUCAGGUCUUUGUCACCAAGAACCAUGUCCUGCGCCAGGAGGUACAAAGAAAUUUCACUGAGCUUUCCAAGUCUACCAAGGCCACGAGUCACUACAAACCACUGGAGCCCAAUGUACACAAACUCCAGGACCUGAAGGAUGAGAACUUUCCACUGUUUGUCACUUCCAAGCAGCUGCUCCUCCUGCUUGAUGCUUCUUUGCCCAAACCAUUUUUCCUGAGAAAUGAAGAUGGAAGCUUGAAAAGAACCAUUGUAGGGUGGUCCACUCAGGAAGAGAUGACCAUCCCCAAUUGGCAGGAGGAUGAGGAGGAGGCUGAGGUGGAUGGCGACUACGGUGAGGAAGAAAAAGCUACAGAAGUUCGCAUGGGUGAAAAUGACCCCCGGGUGUAUGUGACAUUUGAGGUGUUCACCAAUGAAAUAUGGCCCAAAAUGACCAAAGGGAAAACCUCCUACAACCCCGCACUAAUUUGGAAAGAAAUAAAGUCUUUUCUGAAGGGUUCUUUUGAGGCUCUCAGUUGCCCCCACGGAAGACUUACUGAGGAAGCAUAUAAGAAAUUAGGGAGGAAAAGAUCCCCCAAUUUUAAGGAAGAUCGGAGUGAGAUCUAUAGCCUCUUCUGCCUGUAUCAGCAGAUCAGGUCCCAGAAAGGUUAUUUCGAUGAAGAGGAUGUCCUGUAUAACCUGUCCCGGAGGCUAUCAAAGCUUAGGGUGCUUCCAUGGUCCAUCCACGAGCUCUAUGGUGAUGAGAUUCAGGACUUCACUCAAGCUGAACUGGCGCUGCUGAUGAAAUGCAUCAAUGACCCCAAUGCCAUGUUCCUCACUGGGGACACAGCCCAGAGCAUCAUGAAGGGCGUGGCCUUCCGCUUCAGCGACCUGCGGUCUUUGUUCCACUACGCCAGCAGAAACGCCAUCGACAAACAGAGUGCCAUCCGGAAACCCAAGAAGAUCCACCAGUUGUACCAGAAUUAUAGGUCCCAUUCGGGAAUCCUCAAUCUGGCAUCUGGAGUGGUGGAUUUACUUCAAUUCUAUUUCCCAGAGUCUUUUGAUCGCCUUCCAAGGGAUUCUGGCCUCUUUGGUGGCCCCAAACCAACUGUCCUGGAGUCUUGUAGUGUAAGCGACUUGGCAAUUUUACUAAGAGGGAACAAAAGGAAAACCCAGCCCAUUGAAUUUGGAGCCCACCAGGUAAUCCUUGUAGCCAAUGACAUGGCAAAAGAGAAAAUUCCAGAAGAGCUGGGGUUAGCUCUUGUGCUAACAAUUUAUGAAGCAAAAGGCUUAGAAUUUGAUGACGUCCUCCUUUACAACUUUUUCACUGAUUCUGAGGCUUACAAGGAAUGGAAGAUCAUUUCCUCAUUUACACCUUCAUCAUCUGACUCCAGGGAGGAAAACCGGCCAUUGAUUGAAGUGCCCCUGGAGAAACCAAACUCCUCUCAGGGUCGGUCUCUCAUGCUGAAUCCAGAAAUGUACAAGCUUCUCAAUGGAGAGCUGAAACAGUUGUACACUGCCAUCACACGGGCUCGGGUCAACCUCUGGAUCUUUGAUGAAAACCGAGAGAAGCGGGCUCCUGCUUUCAAAUAUUUCAUUAGAAGAGAUUUUGUCCAAGUUGUGAAGACAGAUGAAAAUAAAGACUUUGAUGAUAGCAUGUUUGUGAAGACUUCCACCCCAGAGGAGUGGAUUACUCAGGGGGACUACUAUGCCAAGCACCAGUGCUGGACGGUUGCAGCCAAGUGUUACCAAAAAGGAGGAGCAGUUGAGAAGGAGAAGUUGGCACUAGCCCACAACGCUGCCCUGAACAUGAAAUCCAAGAAAGUCAGCCCCAAGGAAAAGCAGUUGGAGUAUUUGGAACUGGCUAAGACCUAUCUGGAGUACAGUGAACCAAAACUGUCCCUCAAGUGUCUGAGCUAUGCCAAGGAGUUCCAGCUCUCCGCCCAGCUGUGUGAGAGGCUGGGGAAGGUAAGAGAUGCUGCAUAUUUCUAUAAGCGAAGCCAGUGCUACAAAGAUGCUUUCAGAUGCUUUGAACAGAUUCAGGAAUUUGAUCUAGCACUCAAAAUGUACUGCCAAGAAGAGCUUUUUGAAGAAGCUGCUAUUGCAGUGGAGAAGUAUGAAGAAAUGCUAAAGAUCAAGACUUUCCCCAUUUCUAAACUCUCCUAUUCUGCUAGUCAAUUUUAUUUGGAAGCUGCUGCCAAGUAUCUGAGUGCAAAUAAGAUCAAGGAAAUGAUGGCUGUCCUCUCAAAGCUAGACAUAGAAGACCAGCUGGUGUUCCUGAAGUCUCGGAAACGGCUAGCAGAAGCUGCAGACCUGCUCAACAGGGAAGGUCGGAGAGAGGAGGCUGCUCUGCUCAUGAAGCAAAAUGGCUGCCUCCUGGAGGCUGCCCGGCUCACUGCCGACAAGGACUUCCAAGCCUCAUGUCUCCUGGGGGCUGCCCGCCUCAACGUGGCCAGGGAUUCCAACAUAGAAGAUACCAAGGCCAUUCUGAGAGAAGCCCUUGAGCUCUGCUGUCAAACCAACCAGUUGUCCGGCAUUGCUGAAGCCCAAUUCCUACAGGGGGUAAUCCUGAAAGAUUUUCAGAAGCUCGAGGAUGCCUUCUUCAAGUUUGACACGCUCAACCACUCAGCCGGUAUGGUGGAAGCACUCUACAAAGCAGCCAGCCAGUGUGAGGCAGAGCCUGAGAAGGUCUUGGCUCUGGCUCCUGGGGGCUUGGACGUCCUCCUCAACCUGGUCAGGGCCCUCAAAAAGGUGACUACCAAUGCUGAGAAGGAAAUGGUCAAAUCUUGCUUUGAGUUUUUUGGGAUUUCCCAGGUGGAUGCCAAGUAUUGCCAGAUAGCUCAGAAUGACCCUGGGCCCAUAUUAAGAAUAAUCUUUGACCUAGAUUCAAACUUGAGAGAGAAGAAAACAAAAGACCAUUUCUUGAUAAUGAUGGACCAAGUGAAAUUAGCACUGAACAAGCACCUUUUGAGCAGACUGUGUCAGAUUGCACAGAGCCUGCUUGGAAAGACCUAUCCAGGCAUGUGCAUGAGGUUUAUUGUGGGCUUAAAAUGUGAGGAUGAAAACUGUGAGAAUUUCCAUAGGCCUUUGCGGCGUUGUGAGGCCAAAUGUUUGGUUCAGUCAAAAGCGCACCUGGUGGCAAUCAACGGCUUGCUUUUGGAAGCCAAAAAAGUAUUCCCUAAAAUCUUAGCUAAAGAACUUGAAGAGAUUGAUUGUAUUUUGUCUACAGAUAUGUAUGGCCUUUGCAAAUCCUUCCUCAAUGCCGUCUUCCCUAAGCAUUUCCACCAGAGAGUCUUAUCAGAAAACCCUAUGGCAUGCAAAGAAAUCCUCAAACCAAAUUACAAAUCUUUCCGAUUCCACAGGUUAGCUUUGAAAGAGUACAUCCACUUUCUGUUUCAGAAUGAAAGGGCACGAAGCCAACGGGAAUCUACAGACCUGUGGCUGAGUGCCAUGCAGGCUUUCCUGCUCUCCUCCAACUACCCUGAGGAGUUUGAAAAGUUACUCCGCCGGGAGGAGGACAGCUACAACAUGGAACUCAAGGCUCUAGAGUCUGAAAAAGAGGAAAGGGGCAGGGGGAGAGGCAGCAGAAUGAAAGGCAUAGAAGGGAAGUUUGGCAUGCUGGUGCCCAACAAGGACGAUGACAGUUCAGAGAAGACCCACCUGUGCUUCAUCCGGCUGCUGGAGAAUUGCAUUGAUCAGUUCUAUGUGUAUAGGAACCCUGAAGACUGCAAGAGGCUCUUCUUCCGUUUCAUGAAUGUCCUUGUCAAGAGAUGCAAAGAGCCGCUCAUCCCCAGCAUUGGGAACACAGUGGCCUUGUUGGAGUUCCAGUUUGUCCACUGUGGAGUGGUCCUGGCCCGCCUCUGGAAGAACACCAUCCUGUGCCUCCCCAAGAGCUACAUUGCACUCUUGCACUAUUGGGAGUUCCUGUUCAGCAAGAAGGACAAGAAGCCCGGAGAUGUGUUCUCCAUCAUUCAGGAGUACAAACCCAAGGAUGUGACAAGAGCCAUUCAGGAUUUCCGAUUUCACCUUUCCUACCUUGUCAAGGUGCUAUGUGGCUAUGAGAAUGUGAACUUCAGUGUCCUGCUUGAUGCCUUUGGUGACAUAGACUGUGUGGUCUCUGGUGAGGCAGAGCGGACACUGGUGCUGUGCUUGGUGAUGCUAGUGAAUGCUGAGCAGGUCCUGCAGCCAUACUGCAAGCCUCUUCUGUACCGCCACUUCCAGGAGAUCGAGACCAGUCUGCAACUGAUGAGCGUGGACUAUCCAAAGCAGGUUCCCGAGAGGCUGCUGAAAGUGGUGAGGCAGGUGUUGAUGGCAGUCAAUGUAAAGUCCGUGGCUGAGGCGCUGCAGGACCUGCUUUUUGAACGGGAUGAGGAAUACCUAAUGGACUGCUACUGGCGGUGGGACAGCACGCACACCAAAGGGUCUGUGGUCCAUGGCCUUUAUCAUGAAGAGGUCAAACUAAGCCGCUUGCUCUGUGUGGACUCUGCGGACUAUUUGGCUGAGCCAGAGUGUGAGGUCGAUCACGAUGAGACAGAUGAGCUGGUAUUAGAAGACCGAGACCACCUCCUUGCUGCCAUCCUUUCCCAGAAGGAGCGGAAGGCUGCUAUCCAGCGGAAGUUGAGAAGAGCGUGCUUGGUGGUGUCUCUGUGCAUCACCUGGAGUAGAAGGGUGAACGUCCUGACCAAGCGCUUCAGGGAGGAGCCCAGGGAGCCCACUACUAGCAACUUCAAAAAGGCCGAUGUUGACAGGACCCAGUGUGACCUGUGUGGAGUGAAGUUCAUCCGUGGUCCUGAGAACUAUUUCUACCCCAGUAAAGCGUUUGAGGGAGCAGCUUCAGAGUCUGUGGCCCUGUCUCAGGCUGAGCUGGAAGGAAAGGAGGGCCAGGAGAGGAACAGUGAGUCUUACGAGCAGCACAUCUGCCUAGAAGGCCACCAGAAGCAGCAAGUGGCCUACCAGAAGUACUCCGAGUUUUUCCUUGAAAAGGUGGACCCAGCCAUUGACGAAGGCAGGCUCGUGGUACAAGACAUCGAGCAGAGCACGUGGAUUCGCAGUCACCUGGGCUCGAAAGAGCACAGCCACAUGCUGCAGAGGAAGGUCCAGGAGAACAUCAAGAGGGUUUUGGAUAUGGUGGAGGACCUCUACCGGCGGAAGGCCUGGGCUGGAGCGGAGGAGGUGAUGACGCGACUGGUCAACAUUCUGAUUCCGUCAGUCAGGGAUGCACGGGAGUGGUUGAUGAAAACAGAGCUCCACUUAACGGAGGAAGGUAUUGUUCAGGAAGAUGAUUUUGAAAAUGAAGUAGAAGACUUUGUUGAGCUGCGACCUAGAAGGCGUUCGCGGAAAUGUGGGAAGCGGAGAAAAUGCUAAUGUCCAAAUACCUGCUGCCUCCUAAACUUUCAGAACAUUCCAUCUUGACUUAGAAUUCCGAGUGCUGGGGCAGAAGAGAAAAGAAUGAAAGUGGAAUGCCUGGCAAGGAGACCUAUGCAUGUUCUACUGUUUGUCUACCUGGAGCAGCCUGGCCACUGAUCCCCAAGGACUGGACAAAGCAGCUUCCCAAAGUAAUUCUCAGUGAACGACACACAACAGCCCUGCUCCCGGAACUGAGGAGAAAAACUGGGUCUGCCAAUGCCAUUCGACAGCUGAUCCUCACUCCCACCCAGCACCCAGGAAAAUGUGUUUUCCCACUCAGUGUGGAGGAGGGAAGAGCCAUCAGCAAGACAUAUCCACCACUCCUGCGGCCUCAGUUUCUCUGCUGUGUUCAUGACUUCACAAUCAAGCCUUCCUGCUCCAGUACAUCUUCCAAGGUCCUGCUGGGCUUCUCCAUCCCCAUUCCACUGGCAUUCCAAUCAGCGUGUCCAAAACAGAAUGUUCUGUACUCUUCUUGCUGAUUUCCCUUCAGGACCACCCUCCUGUCUGUCACUGAGCCUCAGAAGAAGCUGGGUGCAUCACUCCACAAGACUGUGACCUCCCCGAGGGCGGGAAUGUGGGCUGUGCUACUGCUGCAUCUCCCAUGCCUAUGUGUUCAUCUCUUAGGAGGCCCCCAAGGACUAAAUGGAGACCAAGGGAAGGAGUCUCUAACCCUGUUUUAUCCCUAUGGCUAAUUUCUGACCAAUCACUGAACCUGAGGGAUUGCUCAAUUGUACCCAUUCUUCCUGCAAACAUUUAUUGGGCACCUACUAUAUGCUCUGACCCCAUUUAUCAACUGAAACUAAGCUGGGUGCUAAGAGUAGAUAUUAGGACUGGCCUCAAAGAGCAGGCUCACACUCACCUUCCCCCACUCUUUGUCUCUGCUCUGACUCAGGUCCUCAUUCCCUCCCAUUUGGACCAUAGCACCCCAUCUUCCAGGGCCGCACAGCCUUCCCCCUCAAUUGUGACUUAAACAUAACUGUUGGCUUCUUAAAGCUUGCAUUAACUACCUCAUUCUGUGACUCAGAGGCAUUUACCUCAGGCCUCAGGGUGCCCCGGUGCUUCUGCCAUUCAACCUCUCCACAGCCCACAUCCCACUGCACCUUCCAUACCCCCAAGGGACUGGUGUUUCAGCCUCCCCCACCUUUCCUAGGUCUUCCUGAAAUGUACACAUUCUGAGGUUUGAAACCAUUUGUACCCCAGGAAAGCAUGUUCUUAAAGUUAAUCCAUUCUUGUGGGUGUGGACCCAUUGUAAGUAGGAUCUUUUCAUGAGACUACUUCAGUUAAGGUGUUACCCACCUCAUUCGGGAUGGGUCUUAAUCCUCUUACAGGAAUUCUUUAUAAGAGAAUGAAAUUCAGACAGAGAGAGAAAGCCACAGAAGCAAGAAGCUGAAAGCAAUGAAACCUGGAAGAGAAGGGACCAAAGAUACCACCAUGUGGGAGAGAAGUCCAGGAUUGCUGGCAGCUAGUCCUUGGGAAGAAAGCAUCACCUUGAUGAUGCCUUAAUUUGGACAUUUUCAUGGCCUCAAAACUGUAAGCUUCCAAGCUAAUAAAUUUUCCUCAUUAAAAGCCAACCCAUUUCAUGGUAUCUGCUUUGAACAGCCUAGGAAACAAAUACAUGUACUUUCCAGCUUCUGCACCUUUGCCCAGUGCUAGUUUCUGUCUGGAAGGUCUUUCCCAUGAGUCUUCACCUGUUGAAAUCUUUCCCUCCUUUAAGACUCUUCUCCAGGCCCCCACCUCAGGUAGACUUCCCUAACCUCCAUGUGGAAAUCAACCUCUUUUUUGAGGGUAAGGGGGACUGAUGCUCUUCUCCCCAGCAUGUGGUCUCUAUUGCAUAUUUUAGAGCAAAAGAUAAACAUGGCUUUUGGGUACAUGCCUGCCUCCUUCUAGAUUGUGCGCUUCAAUAUAGUAACCACUACCCACAUGUAACUAUUUAAAUUAAAAUUAAAAUUAAAUAAAAUUUAAAAUUCAGUUUCUCAGCCACUUUAGCCACAUUUUAAGUGCUCUGUAGCCACAUGGGGCUAGUGGCUACUCUUCUGGACAGAGCAGUAUAGAAUAUCUCCAUCACCACAGAAACUUCUAUCGGACUACACUGCUAUAGAUCAAGAGCUCUUGGCAUUAAGUGUAGAGCCUGGCCCAUGGGAGGUGCUCAAUAAAUGUUGAUUGAAUUGAGUCAAAUGUAAUGUUUUGGAUGAAGUAGGAGAGUUGGAGGACCAUUAAAAAAUCAAUGUUUGGAGACCUUGAAUCAGCUGACUCUGAGGGGCAGAAAGAAGGGGAGAGAAGAAAGGAAGGCCUGUGGACUGAGCACCUACCAUCCCUAGGCCUAGAGUAUAGCUCAAACAUUUGGUGGAACUGAUGGAGUCGGGGUGGGGCACAUUGUGCAGACAAUUGCUAUUCUAGACACAUUUUCCAGUCUGGAUGAGACACAUUUUUGGCUCAUAGCUUAACACAGAAUCAGGGCCAAGAGUGUGCACUUGAGUGGGUGCAUCUGAGAUUGUCAGUGUUUGAGCGCUGUCUUCUUUGUUCUCUCUCCCGCCAUGCUCCCUUGCCCUGCCCAGCUGGACAGGCAUGCUCCCUGAUGAGCCAGGCCACCCUGAGCUGAACUUCUGAAAGGGGCAAGGGAGAGUGCAGAAAAUGGGAUGCCUAUGGUGAGAGGAAAGAGAGAGGCUCUUGGCCCUUUUCCAGCCCAAAACUGGGGCUGUGUGUCAAUCCCUUGCAGCAACAGGGAGCUGGUUUCUCUGGGAAACCCAGUCUGCAGGUCCUCCAGCUGUGAGGGAGGCUCUGAGUUCUGUAAGGCUCAAAUCAAGUGGAUCAUCUCCCCUAUCAAACUCUGUUGUCUUCCCCAUCAAUGUCUCCAGGAAUUAAUAUCACUGACACUUUGACACCCAGGAAUCAAUUUAUUCAUGGUCAAAGAAUUGGCACUUUUGUUUCAUGUCUAGAAAGUUCAUGAGAAAUCUAAGCAUAGAAACCAUAGCCUCUGGGUGGAGUACCCACUACCCAGAAUUUGGUAACAAAGUAUCUCACAGGUAUCAUGGUACUUAAUCUUCCUGACAACCAUGAAAAGUAAGCAGUGUCCUAUUUUGCAGGUGUGGAAACUAAGGUGCGAUGAGGUUAGCAACCUGCCCAUGGCUGCAUAGCAUCUAGGCUUUUCUUUAUUAAGUCUCACUUCUCAGCACACUGCUUUGUACCUUGCUAGCAUGGUAUACACACAAGGAAUAUUAUUUGCUGCCCUUGCUGUGUCCCUGAUAGCUCUCACGUUUUCCCUCCUGCCAGCCAAGACUGAAUCCAGUGCACCCCAUCCUGGACCUGAUACAGUAUCAGGUACCACUGACUCCCCACAAUUCCAGUUUAACCUUCACUUAGCCCACCACACCCCAGCAUCAUCAGCCCUAAGCAGCACCAGCACAGAUGCUUCUAAAGAAAGACAACUACCAGGCAGACCAAGGAAACUCUUUGCUGCCUAACAGCCUGUCCACCCUCCCAGCUUGGUAUCCCCUGAGACAGGGCAUUGCUUGCUUGCUUUCUCUCUCAGGCUAUUUGCAACCAAGCUUAAUGAAGCCAGUAUUAACUUUUCUCACCUCAGAGACACCUCCUUCCUCACUUCUCCUGAGCAGUCCCAUCUACUUAACUUUUCUUCCCCUCAUCUCCUACGGCAACUUAUUUUUUCCAAAAACUGACACAGCAAUAUUUCUGGUCCCAUAUGCUCUACCAGCACUUUGACAUUCCUUAUCAAGAGAUGAAAUUUAUUUUUCCCUCUUCUUGAAUCUGGACAGGACUUUGUUACUACCUUCAGGAAUAGAAUAUGGCAGAAAGAAAACUGCAUUAUUUCCAAGGCUAGUUCAUAAAAGGCAAUAUGGCUUCUGCUUGGAUCUCUCUCUUGGGAAAACAGCCACCAUGCUGUUAGGAAGCCCAAGCAGCCAUAUGGAGAUGUCAUGUGUACAUGUUCCAGCCAGCUACACCUAAGGUAUCAGUUAUCAGCCAGCAUCAUCACUGAAUACAUGGGUGAGCAAGCCUUCAGAUGAGUCUAGCCACUAGCCCUCAAGCUGCCCGGCUGAUGCCAAGUGGGGUAGAGAUGAGCUAUGUUUCAAGCCAUACUCAAAUUGCAGU